GAUGAACGCUGGCGGCGUGCCUAAUACAUGCAAGUCGAGCGAACGGACGAGAAGCUUGCUUCUCUGAUGUUAGCGGCGGACGGGUGAGUAACACGUGGAUAACCUACCUAUAAGACUGGGAUAACUUCGGGAAACCGGAGCUAAUACCGGAUAAUAUUUUGAACCGCAUGGUUCAAAAGUGAAAGACGGUCUUGCUGUCACUUAUAGAUGGAUCCGCGCUGCAUUAGCUAGUUGGUAAGGUAACGGCUUACCAAGGCAACGAUGCAUAGCCGACCUGAGAGGGUGAUCUGCCACACUGGAACUGAGACACGGUCCAGACUCCUACGGGAGGCAGCAGUAGGGAAUCUUCCGCAAUGGGCGGAAGCCUGACGGAGCAACGCCGCGUGAGUGAUGAAGGUCUUCGGAUCGUAAAACUCUGUUAUUAGGGAAGAACAUAUGUGUAAGUAACUGUGCACAUCUUGACGGUACCUAAUCAGAAAGCCACGGCUAACUACGUG
rnacentral:rRNA from 1 species